rnacentral:rRNA from 1 species
GUUGUAUAGUCAAGUAAUUAAGUGCAUGUGGUGGAUGCCUUGGCAGUCAGAGGCGAUGAAAGACGUGAUAGCCUGCGAAAAGCUCCGGGGAGGCGGCAAAUAUCCUUUGAUCCGGAGAUGUCUGAAUGGGGGAACCCACCUACUUUAAGGUAGGUAUUGCAACAUGAAUACAUAGUGUUGCAAGGCGAACGAGGGGAAGUGAAACAUCUCAGUACCCUUAGGAAAAGAAAUCAAUUGAGAUUCCCUCAGUAGCGGCGAGCGAACGGGGAUCAGCCCAUUAAGUUAUGUGUGUUUUAGUGGAACGCUCUGGGAAGUGCGAACGUAGAGGGUGAUAUUCCCGUACACGAAAGGGCACACAUAAUGAUGACGAGUAGGGCGAGGCACGUGAAACCUUGUCUGAAUAUGGGGGGACCAUCCUCCAAGGCUAAAUACUCCUGACUGACCGAUAGUGAACCAGUACCGUGAGGGAAAGGCGAAAAGAACCCCUGUGAGGGGAGUGAAAUAGAUCCUGAAACCGCAUGCAUACAAGCAGUGGGAGCACCUUUGUGGUGUGACUGCGUACCUUUUGUAUAAUGGGUCAGCGACUUAUAUUCAGUAGCGAGGUUAACCGUAUAGGGGAGCCGUAGAGAAAUCGAGUCUUAAUAGGGCGUUUAGUUGCUGGGUAUAGACCCGAAACCAGGCGAUCUAUCCAUGAGCAGGUUGAAGGUUGGGUAACACUAACUGGAGGACCGAACCCACUGUCGUUGAAAAGCCAGGGGAUGACUUGUGGAUAGGGGUGAAAGGCUAAUCAAGCCUGGUGAUAGCUGGUUCUCCCCGAAAGCUAUUUAGGUAGCGCCUCGGACGAAUACCAUAGGGGGUAGAGCACUGUUUCGGCUAGGGGGUCAUCCCGACUUACCAAACCGAUGCAAACUCCGAAUACCUAUGAGUACUAUCCGGGAGACAGACUGCGGGUGCUAACGUCCGUAGUCAAGAGGAAAACAAUCCAGACCGCCAGCUAAGGCCCCAAAAUCAUAGUUAAGUGGGAAACGAUGUGGGAAGGCAUAGACAGCUAGGAGGUUGGCUUAGAAGCAGCCACCCUUUAAAGAAAGCGUAAUAGCUCACUAGUCGAGUCGGCCUGCGCGGAAGAUGUAACGGGGCUAAAACUAUGUGCCGAAGCUGCGGAUGUAUACUUUGUAUACGUGGUAGGGGAGCGUUCUGUAAGCCGAUGAAGGUGUGUUGAGAAGCAUGCUGGAGGUAUCAGAAGUGCGAAUGCUGACGUGAGUAACGACAAAACGGGUGAAAAACCCGUUCGCCGAAAGACCAAGGGUUCCAGUCCAACGUUAAUCGGGGCUGGGUGAGUCGACCCCUAAGGCGAGGCCGAAAGGCGUAGUCGAUGGGAAAAUGGUUAAUAUUCCAUUACUUCUGUGUAAUGCGAUGAGAGGACGGAGAAGGCUAAAUCAGCCUGGCGUUGGUUGUCCAGGUGAAAGGAUGUAGGCAUGUAUCUUAGGCAAAUCCGGGGUACUCUAUGCUGAGAUCUGAUAGCAAGCUGUACUUGUACAGCGAAGUGGUUGAUGCCAUGCUUCCAGGAAAAGUCUCUAAGCUUCAGUUACACAGGAAUCGUACCCGAAACCGACACAGGUGGUCAGGUCGAGUAGACCAAGGCGCUUGAGAGAACUCUGCUGAAGGAACUAGGCAAAAUGGUACCGUAACUUCGGGAGAAGGUACGCUGUUGUUGGUGAUGGAACUCGCUUCCUGAGCUGACGACAGCCGCAGAAACCAGGCCGCUGCAACUGUUUAUUAAAAACAUAGCACUCUGCAAACACGAAAGUGGACGUAUAGGGUGUGAUGCCUGCCCGGUGCUGGAAGGUUAAUUGAUGGGGUUAGCGUAAGCGAAGCUCUUGAUCGAAGCCCCAGUAAACGGCGGCCGUAACUAUAACGGUCCUAAGGUAGCGAAAUUCCUUGUCGGGUAAGUUCCGACCUGCACGAAUGGCAUAAUGAUGGCGGCGCUGUCUCCAGCAGAGGCUCAGUGAAAUCGAAAUCGCUGUGAAGAUGCAGUGUACCCGCGGCUAGACGGAAAGACCCCGUGAACCUUUACUGCAGCUUGACACUGAACUUUGACCUUACUUGUGUAGGAUAGGUGGGAGGCUUUGAAGCUGGAACGCUAGUUCCAGUGGAGCCGUCCUUGAAAUACCACCCUGGUAAUGUUGAGGUUCUAACUCUGUCCCGUGAUCCGGGACGAGGACCGUGUCUGGUGGGUAGUUUGACUGGGGCGGUCUCCUCCUAAAGAGUAACGGAGGAGUACGAAGGUGCGCUCAGCGUGGUCGGAAAUCACGCGUAGAGUAUAAAGGCAAAAGCGCGCUUAACUGCGAGACCCACAAGUCGAGCAGGUACGAAAGUAGGUCUUAGUGAUCCGGUGGUUCUGUAUGGAAGGGCCAUCGCUCAACGGAUAAAAGGUACUCUGGGGAUAACAGGCUGAUACCGCCCAAGAGUUCAUAUCGACGGCGGUGUUUGGCACCUCGAUGUCGGCUCAUCUCAUCCUGGGGCUGAAGCAGGUCCCAAGGGUAUGGCUGUUCGCCAUUUAAAGAGGUACGCGAGAUGGGUUUAGAACGUCGUGAGACAGUUCGGUCCCUAUCUACCGUGGGCGCUGGAAAUUUGAGAGGAUCUGCUCCUAGUACGAGAGGACCAGAGUGGACGAACCUCUGGUGUACCGGUUGUGACGCCAGUCGCAUCGCCGGGUAGCUAUGUUCGGAAGGGAUAACCGCUGAAAGCAUCUAAGCGGGAAGCCUACCUCAAGAUAAGAUUUCCCUAGGACUUUAUGUCCUCUAAAGAGCCGUUCGAGACUAGGACGUUGAUAGGUUGGAUGUGGAAGCAUAGUGAUAUGUGAAGCUGACCAAUACUAAUUGCUCGUGAGGCUUGACUAUACAACACCCAAGCAGUUG